rnacentral:rRNA from 1 species
CCUACGGGUGGCAGCAGUAGGGAAUCUUCCACAAUGGGCGAAAGCCUGAUGGAGCAACGCCGCGUGGGUGAAGAAGGCCUUCGGAGCGUAAAACCCUGUUGUUAGAGAAGAAAGUGCGUGAGAGUAACUGUUCACGGUUCGACGGUAUCUAACCAGAAAGUCACGGCUACCUACGUGCCAGCAGCCGCGGUAAUACGUAGGGGGCAAGCGUUGUCCGGAUUUAUUGGGGGUAAAGGGAACGCAGGCGGUCUUUUAAGUCUGAUGUGAAAGCCUUCGGCUUAACCGGAGUAGUUCAUUGGAAACUGGGAGACUUGAGUGCAGAAGAGGAGAGUGGAAUUCCAUGUGUAGCGGUGAAAUGCGUAGAUAUAAGGAAGAACCCCGGUGGCGAAAGCGGCUCUCUGGUCUGUAACUGACGCUGAGGUUCGAAAGCGUGGGUAGCAAACAGGAUUAGAUACCCCAGUAGUC